rnacentral:rRNA from 1 species
CGUCUGAGCACCAUCCGCCAAAGGUCUUACCCUUCAGCCAUGCCUCCGAUGGCCAUGCCUCCGAUCCCUCCGUUCUUUUUCCCGCCAAGCCCCACACCAGCCCCUGCACCAGCGGAGGGGCCGUCCGUCACCAUCCCGGACAUCCCGGGGACCAGCGGCUACAACAUAUCGGAGUUUAUCGUCGUCGUUGGCUUCGGCACGCCGUCUCAGCCAUCUGCUCUGUUGUUUGACACCGGUAGCGACCUGUCGUGGGUCCAGUGCCAGCCGUGCACGGGCCACUGUUACCAGCAAAACGGCCCGCUCUUCGACCCGACCAAGUCUUCCACCUACGACGUGGUGCGCUGUGGCACGCCAGAGUGCUCGGUGGCCGGCGGCAUGUGCAACGGCACCACCUGCCUCUACCAAAUCGGCUAUGGCGACGGCUCGUCCACGUCCGGUGCGCUCUCACAGGAGACGCUGACAUUCUCCUCGUCGCGUACGUUCUCCAGCUUCCCGUUUGGAUGCGGCACCACCAACCUGGGUGACUUUGGCAGCGUCGACGGGCUGCUUGGCCUCGGCCGUGGCCAGCUUUCGCUGGCCUCGCAGACGGCCUCCUCGUACGACGGCACCUUCUCCUACUGUCUUCCGUCUCACAACAUGUCGAGGCCCGGGUUCCUCAGCAUCGGCGCCGCCCCGGACACCGGCAAGGUCCAGUACACGGCGAUGAUCAAGAAGCCGCAGUACCCGUCCUUCUACUUCGUGGAGCUCGCGUCCAUCAACAUCGGUGGCUACGUCCUGCCGGUGCCGCCAUCCGUGUUCACCAGCAAGGGCACGCUGCUCGACUCCGGCACCACCCUCACGUACAUCCCCUCGAAGGCCUACACCUUGCUCAGCGACCGCUUCAAGUUCACCAUGAAGGGGUACAAGCCGGCGCCGCCCUCCGAAGAGCUCGACACCUGCUACGACUUCUCCGGCCACAACGCCAUCUUCAUACCGGGGGUGUCGUUCAAGUUCAGCGACGGAGCCGUGUUCGAGCUCGACUUCUUCGGGAUCAUGAUGUUCCCUGAUGACGCGCAGCCGGCCUACGGGUGCCUCGCGUUCGCGGCCGACGAUGAUUCCUUCUCCAUCAUCGGCAACACGCAGCAGCGUUCCGCCGAGGUGAUCUACGAUGUUGCAGCCGAGAAGAUUGGUUUUGUUCCCUUCAGUUGCUGA